rnacentral:sRNA from 1 species
CCUUCCUGACGACUUGUUCAUGAGUCUGACCCAGAAUGUACGGGAUCUUGGAACCGCUAGGUUUUUAUCAAUCAAUCGAUAAUCUCCCAUCUAAUUCCGUCGAGUUGGCCGCAGACCUAAGAGCACCCCUGCUCAUAAAUUCGGCGACCUGGCACUCUGCUACGUAGGUAUCUACAGAAAAACACCUAGCAAUCGUUUCUUUCAAUUCAGCUGCCUCGGUUCAUACAUACGUGUUAGUAGUAUCUGCCGCGGGGGGUGUCAUGACAGCAGCCUCAAUUUUUAAGAGCACAUGGCUCUUUCUCCAGGCGAAAGGAGUUAGCGGGUAGGGUGUCCGCAGAAAAGGGCGGCUAUAAUUCCGGAUCAGUUUGGGAUUUCUUCGAAUAACACAACGUUGGACCCGGCUGAGCCGUCGCACUGUUGAGCUCCGGUUGGCCCAAUGUCUCAACGAACCUGCAAACAUGAUUCAUGAUUCAAAAAUUCAAUCAGAUUUAGUCCAAACUAUACCAAGAUUUAUCAGCACUGCAUUCAUAGAUGAUAGUCAUCCGUCGGAUAACGGCGGAUUGAUUCAGUUUGGACGGAGAACAGCAAGACUUCUGACCUGAUACAACGAGCGCAAGAGCGAGUGAGUUGUUUGAAGUGUAAAAAAAAAAAAAAAAAAAAAAACUAAAAUUUCCCACCUCCGAAAAAAAACCGAGAAAAAUGUUGCAUUUGAGUUUUUCAAGGGCUAGGAUGUUAGUCCCCGUGACGGGGACUCCAAUUUUUCCCUUAACAGGCGAAUGGACCCUUGCAGGCUUCCGAGUCGAGCCUGGGCUACCCUUGUUGUUGCACAUGCACAUGCACAUCAUAUUCAUGGAUAUUACCGGAUUUAUUUCGCGAGGAGGAAAAGAGAGGAAU